rnacentral:rRNA from 1 species
CGGAGGGUGCAAGCGUUAUCCGGAUUCACUGGGUUUAAAGGGUGCGUAGGUGGGCAAGUAAGUCAGUGGUGAAAUCUCCGGGCUUAACCCGGAAACUGCCAUUGAUACUAUUUGUCUUGAAUACUGUGGAGGUCAGCGGAAUAUGUCAUGUAGCGGUGAAAUGCUUAGAUAUGACAUAGAACACCAAUUGCGAAGGCAGCUGGCUACACAAAUAUUGACACUGAGGCACGAAAGCGUGGGGAUCAAACAGGAUUAGAUACCCUGGUAGUCCACGCCCUAAACUAUGAAUACUCGACAUUUGCGAUAAACUGCAAGUGUCUGAGCGAAAGCAUUAAGUAUCCCACCUGGGAAGUACGAUCGCAAGAUUG